rnacentral:rRNA from 1 species
GGUUAAGCGACUAAGCGUACACGGUGGAUGCCCUGGCAGUCAGAGGCGAUGAAGGGCGUGCUAAUCUGCGAUAAGCGCCGGUAAGGUGAUAUGAACCGUUAUAACCGGCGAUACCCGAAUGGGGAAACCCAGUGUGAYUCGUCACACUAUCAUUAACUGAAUCCAUAGGUUAAUGAGGCGAACCGGGGGAACUGAAACAUCUAAGUACCCCGAGGAAAAGAAAUCAACCGAGAUUCCCCCAGUAGCGGCGAGCGAACGGGGAGGAGCCCAGAGCCUGAAUCAGCAUGUGUGUUAGUGGAAGCGUCUGGAAAGGCGCGCGAUACAGGGUGACAGCCCCGUACACAAAA